UACCAGCCCCCCGAGUGGUCGGGACGAUUAUUGGGCCUAAAGCAUCCGUAGCCGGUCCUACAAGUCUUCCGUUAAAUCCAGCCGCUCAACGGUUGGGCUGCGGAGGAUACUACGUGGCUAGGAGGCGGGAGAGGCAAGCGGUACUCAGUGGGUAGGGGUAAAAUCCUUUGAUCCAUUGAAGACCACCAGUGGCGAAGGCGGCUUGCCAGAACGCGCUCGACGGUGAGGGAUGAAAGCUGGGGGAGCAAACCGG
rnacentral:rRNA from 1 species